GAAGGCAGAAAUCGUCCUCUUCGGUUCUUUUCUUUUCCUUUUAUUUUUCUAUUUUCAAUUCAGUCAAUGAGUGGCUGAUUUUCUUAAUUCUAGUUGAGAAUUGGUUGAAACUAAGGUUGUUUAAUGGGUUGUGAGAUUUGGACAUAAAUUAUUGUCUUUGGUUUUGUUCAAUAUUUAUGCAAUUGAUGCUUUAAUUAUAUGAUUACUUUGUUGUUCUGAUCAAAUUGACCACUUGAUUUUAAUUGCAAAGUUAAUUGAUUGUUAGUUGGGAUUAUUUUUAGUCCGUAAUUGCUGAAAAUAUUCUGACCUUAGAACACUUGGUGUGAAAACCAAGGAAUUGCAUGAUCUAGCGUUAUCUCCAUACGUUUGGGUAGCUAGGAUUGAAUCUCUCUAUUUCUUUAUGCAAUUGACAAUUGUUUUGAUGCCUAUGGCCCAAGAACGUUCCUUGGCAAUUUGUUAAUUAGUAAUUGAUUAGAGGACGUUCCCUAAUUAAUUUAAUCAUAAGGAGAGACAUGGUGGUGAGAAGCGUCUUCCACCCCCAUAACUAAUCUAUUGAACCAAUCAAGAUAAUCUAAGUUUCAAUGAUCAAUCCAAACAACCAAAGUGGAUCCAUAUCUUCAACUAGACUUUUCUCAUAUUGAUUUCCUCUUUUAUUUUAAUUAUUUGCUUUCUAUUAUUAUUCUCAUUAUUAGUUACUACAAUCAAUCUCAAACCCCCUCCAUUUUACUUUUACUGCAAUUUAUUUUUGCUUUCAAUUUAUCUCGUUUGAUCCCACUUUCAGUUUUUUUUAUCUCAUUUUUAGUUUAUUUUCUUG
rnacentral:lncRNA from 1 species